ACUGGAUCCGACGCCGGAUCCGCGGACGAGGGAGCCGUACCCGCAGGGCGACAAGACGGCCAGU
rnacentral:ncRNA from 1 species